rnacentral:tRNA from 1 species
GAGGUUAUAGCUCAAUUGGUAGAGUGCAUGCCUAGCAUGCCUGAGGUUCUGGGUUCAAUCCCCAGCACCUCCA